UACGAGGGGUGCAAGCGUUGCUCGGAAUUAUUGGGCGUAAAGGGUAGGUAGGUGGUCUUAUUUGUCUGGGGUGAAAGCCUUGGGCUUAACUCAAGAAGUGCCCCAGAAACGGUAAGACUCGAGUCCUGGAGAGGGUCGUGGAAUUCCCGGUGUAGCGGUGAAAUGCGUAGAGAUCGGGAGGAACACCAGAGGCGAAAGCGGCGACCUGGACAGGCACUGACACUGAGGCACGAAAGCGUGGGGAGCAAACAGG
rnacentral:rRNA from 1 species